AGGGAUUGCCCUAGUAACGGCGAGUGAAGCGGCAACAGCUCAAAUUUGAAAUCUGGCUCUUUCAGAGUCCGAGUUGUAAUUUGCAGAGGGCGCUUUGGUGUUGGCAGCGGUCCAAGUUCCUUGGAACAGGACGUCACAGAGGGUGAGAAUCCCGUACGUGGUCGCUAGCCUUCGCCGUGUAAAGCCCCUUCGACGAGUCGAGUUGUUUGGGAAUGCAGCUCUAAAUGGGAGGUAAAUUUCUUCUAAAGCUAAAUACUGGCCAGAGACCGAUAGCGCACAAGUAGAGUGAUCGAAAGAUGAAAAGCACUUUGGAAAGAGAGUCAAAUAGCACGUGAAAUUGUUGAAAGGGAAGCGCUUGCAGCCAGACUUGCCUGUAGUUGCUUAUCCGGACUUUUGUCCGGUGCACUCUUCUGCGGGCAGGCCAGCAUCAGUUUGGGCGGUUGGAUAAAGGUCUCUGUCAUGUACCUCUCUUCGGGGAGAACUUAUAGGGGAGACGACAUGCAACCAGCCUGGACUGAGGUCCGCGCAUCUGCUAGGAUGCUGGCGUAAUGGCUGUAAGCGGCCCGUCUUGAAACACGGACCAAGGAGUCUAACAUCUAUGCGAGUGUUUGGGUGUCAAGCCCAGACGCGUAAUGAAAGUGAACGGAGGUGGGAACCCUUUGGGUGCACCAUCGACCGAUCCUGAUGUCUUCGGAUGGAUUUGAGUAAGAGCAUGGCUGUUGGGACCCGAAAGAUGGUGAACUAUGCUUGAAUAGGGUGAAGCCAGAGGAAACUCUGGUGGAGGCUCGCAGCGGUUCUGACGUGCAAAUCGAUCGUCAAAUU
rnacentral:rRNA from 1 species